UGUAGCUCAGUGGUAGAGUACUUGCCUAACAUAUGUGAGGCCCUGGGUUCAAUCCCAAGUACAG
rnacentral:tRNA from 1 species